UAAGAAGAUCAUUUGUAUUGUUUGCCAACCGCUAAAAAAAGAAGCUGUUGUUUGCCGUGUCGCAUUCUACACAUAUUCAGUCCAAGGCUGAUGCAGGGCAGUUCUCCCGGGUUAAGGGGUCCCUGCUGCAGUUUCACCAGUAAAGAAAAUUACUUGUUACAGUUCACUUGAAGGACCACAUAAGCCAUGCAGUGGUGCAUGGAGGUAUGGAGCGCCAAGAGGACAUAAAGUGGAAGUUCGU